AUGUACGUCCGUCCGUACGUCCCAAAAUUGGUUUCCGUUCUCUAACUUGAGUUUGCCUCAACCAAAUGUUAUGAAACUUAUACACAAUGCUUAUUUUCACAAAACACAGAUCAAGUUUGAAUUUUGGUGGCGUCACUUUAACCGUUCUAGAGUUAUGCCCCUUUAUAAAUGGAAAAAUUGCAAAAUUUUUAGUUUCCGUUCUCUAACUUAAGUUUGCCUCAACCAAAUGUUAUGAAACUUAUACACAAGGCUUAUUACCACAAAACUCAGAUCAAGUUUGAAUUUUGGUGGCGUCACUUCAACCGUUCUAGAGUUAUGCCCCUUUAUAAAGGGAAAAAAUUGCAAAAUUUUUAUUUUCUUCUAAAUAUCAAGUUAUUAUACGACCGCAAAAAUUAAAAAUUUUUUGGUCGUAUAUUGGUAUGACGUUGGCGUCGUCGUUGUCGUCGUCGUCGGCGUCGUCCGGCGUCGUCCGAAGACACAUUGGUUUUCGCACUCUAACUUUAGUUUAAGUGAAUGGAUCUCCAUGAAAUUUCACCAUAAGGUUCAAUACCACGAAAGGAAGGUUGGGAUUGAUUUUGGGGGUUAUGGUACCAACAGUUAAGGAAUUAGGGGCCAAAAAGGGGCCAAAAAUAAGCAUUUUUGUAACUUUCAGACAAUAACUUGUGUGUAAGUGUAUGGAUCUCUCUGACAUUGUACCACAAGGUUCCAUAUCACAAAGGGAAGGCUGUAAUUGAUUUUGGGGGUAAUUGCCUCAAAAUUUUAGGAAUUAGGGGCCAAAAAGGGGGCAAAAAACAAGCAUUUUUCUAGUUUCAUGACAAUAACUUGUGUGUAAGUGUUUGGAUAUUUCUGAAAUUGUACUACAAGGUUCCAUAUCACAAAGGGAAGGCUGGAAUUGAGUUUGGGGGUAAUUGCCCGAAACGUUUAGGAAUUGGGGGCCAAAAAGGGGCCAAAAAUAAGCAUUUUUCUAGUUUCCAGACAAUAACUUGUGUUCAAGUGUAUGGAUCUCUCUGAAAUUGUACUGCAAGGUACCAUACCACAAAGGGAAGGCUGGGAUUGAGUUUGGGGGUGAUGAAUCAUAAGGGGGUUCAAAAAAUUUGGGGGGGGGGAUUUUUUUUUUUUUUUCUUUUUUUCCUUUUUUUUUUCUUUUAAAAUUUUCCAUUUUAAGUUGGUUAUUUCUGAUUUAUAUUUAAAAGCAAAUAAUAAUGAUAUGGUAGGAGAUACACACCAAACAGGAUGUGUAAAUUAUUAUAUAAUAAGUAUUGUGCAAUAGCAAGAAAUUUUCAAUUGCACAGUAUUGCACAAUAGCAAGAAAUCUUCAAUUGCACAGUAUUGCGCAAUAGCAAGAAAUCUUCAAUUGCACAGUAUUGCGCAAUAGCAAGAAAUAUCCAAUAGCACAAUAUUGCGCAAUAGCAAGAAAUUGUCAAUUGUACAGUAUUGCGCAAUAGCAAGAAAUAUUCAAUUGCACAGUAUUGUGCAAAAGAAGAUACUUCGUAUAAAUUGCUUGUUUCUUGAUCAAUUUCAAUGGGGUUUUAUUCUUGAAUUCUUGGGGUUCUUUAAUAUGCUGAAUCUAACCGUGUAUUAAGUUUUUGGAUUUUGGGCCCCGUUUUUAAAUUGGUCCACAUUGAGGUCCAAAGGGUCCAAAAUUUAACUUUGUUUGAUUUCAUCAAAAAUUGAAUUAUUGGGGUUCUAUGAUAUGCCGAAUCUAACCGUGUAUUUAGAUUUUUAAUUUUUGGUCCCAUUUUUUAAAUUGGUCUACAUUAAGGUCCAAAGGGUCCAAAAUUAAACUUAGUUUGAUUUUAACAAAAAUUGGAUUCUUGGGGUUCUUUGAUAUGCUGAAUCUAAACAUGUGUUUAGAUUUUUGAUUAUGGGCCCAGUUUUCAAGUUGGUCCAAGUUGGGUCCAAAAUUAAACUUUGUUUGAUUUCAACAAAAAUUGAAUAUAUGGGGUUCUUUGAUAUGCUGAAUCUAAACAUGUAUUUAGAUUUUAGAUUUUUGGCCCAGUUUUCAAGUUGGUCCAAAUUGGGGUCCAAAAUUAAACUUUGUUUGAUUUCAACAAAAAUUGAAUAUAUGGGGUUCUUUGAUAUGCUGAAUCUUACCAUGUAUUUAGAUUUUUUAUUUGUGGGCCCGCUAUCAAAUUGGUUCAUAUUGAGGUCAAAAGGGUCCAAAAUUAAACUUUGUUUGAUUUCAUCAAAAAUUUAAUUAUUGGGGUUCUUUGAUAUGCCAAAUCUAACCGUGUUUUUAGAUUUUUAAUUUUGGGUCCCGUUUUUUAAAUUUGUCUACAUUAAGGUCCAAAGGGUCCAAAAUUAAACUUAGUUUGAUUUUAACAAAAAUUGAAUUCUUCGGGUACUUUGAUAUGCUGAAUCUAAACAUGUGUUUAGAUUUUUGAUUAUGGGACCAGUUUUCAAGUUUGUCCAAGUUGGGGUCCAAAAUUAAACUUUGUUUGAUUUCAACAAAAAUUGAAUAUAUGGGGUUCUUUGAUAUGCUGAAUCUUACCAUGUAUUUUGAUUUUGGACAUUGGACCAUAAUAGGUAAAUUAAAAAAAUUGAAGUUCUUAGACCACAUUCUUUCUGUGUCAGAAACCUAUGAUGUGUCAAAUAUUUAAUCACAAUCCAAAUUCAGAGCUGUAUCAAGCUUGAAUGUUGUGUCCAUACUUGCCCCAACUGUUCAGGGUUCGACCUCUGCGGUCGUAUCAAGCUGCGCCCAGCGAAGCAUUUUAUUUUUAAAAUUGGAGUUAUCUUCCUUUGUCCAUGAUUAUAGUUGAAUCAACUACAAUGAAUGCUUUAUACAAUGCAAUGUUUAAUUUUGACUUCCACUGAUAAAACACAGAUCAAUUGAAUUUGGGUAGUGUCACUUUAACCAUUAUUGAGUUAUGUCCCUUUAUAAAUAGAAAGAUUGCAAAAUUUUUUAGUUUCCAUUCUGUAACUGAAGUUUUCCCCAGCCAAACAUUAUGAAACCUAUACACAAUAUUCAUUACCACAAAACUCAGUAAGGAUCAAGUACAAUUUUUUUGUUUCAGUUCUCUAACUUGAGUUUGCCUCAACCAAAUGUUAUGAAACUUAUACACAAUGCUUAUUACUACAUAAUACAGAUUAAGUACGAAAUUAGGUGGCAACACUUUUACCAUUCUAGAGUUAUGUCCCUUUAUAAACAUAAAAAUUGCUGAAUUUUUUAGUUUGUCUCAACCAAAUGUUGUAAAACUUAUACACAACCGUUCUAGAGUUAUGCGUGUUUACAAAUAGAAAAAUUGCUGAAUUUUUAGUUUCUGUUCUCUACUUAAGUUAGCCUCAACCAAAUGUUAUGACACUUACACACAAUGCUUAUUACCACAAAACUCAGAUCAAGUUCAAAUUUGGGUAGCGUCACUUUUACCGUUCUUCAGUUAUGUCCCUUUAUAACUAUAUG